UACAGAGGUCUCAAGCGUUGUUCGGAUUCAUUGGGCGUAAAGGGUGCGUAGGCGGCGCGGUAAGUCGGGUGUGAAAUCUCGGAGCUUAACUCCGAAACUGCAUUCGAUACUGCCGUGCUUGAGGACUGGAGAGGAGACUGGGAUUUACGGUGUAGCGGUGAAAUGCGUAGAUAUCGUAAGGAACCCCAGAGGCGAAGGCGGCCCCCUGGCUCGUACCUGACGCUCAGCCACGAAAGCAUGGGGAGCGAACGGG
rnacentral:rRNA from 1 species